UACGAAGGGUGCAAGCGUUAAUCGGAAUUACUGGGCGUAAAGCGUGCGCAGGCGGCUUUGCAAGACAGAUGUGAAAUCCCCGGGCUCAACCUGGGAACUGCAUUUGUGACUGCAUGGCUAGAGUACGGUAGAGGGGGAUGGAAUUCCGCGUGUAGCAGUGAAAUGCGUAGAUAUGUGGAGGAAUACCGAUGGCGAAGGCAGCCCCCUGGGAUAACACUGACGCUCAUGCACGAAAGCGUGGGGAGCAAACAGG
rnacentral:rRNA from 1 species